UACGUAGGGUGCAAGCGUUGUCCGGAAUUAUUGGGCGUAAAGAGCUCGUAGGCGGUUUGUCGCGUCUGCUGUGAAAACGCGAGGCUCAACCUCGCGCCUGCAGUGGGUACGGGCAAACUAGAGUGCGGUAGGGGAGAUUGGAAUUCCUGGUGUAGCGGUGGAAUGCGCAGAUAUCAGGAGGAACACCGAUGGCGAAGGCAGAUCUCUGGCCGUAACUGACGCUGAGGAGCGAAAGCGUGGGGAGCGAACAGG
rnacentral:rRNA from 1 species